GUAAAUAAAGAUUUACGAAGUCAUGAGUUUAUCGAGCAAUCAAUCCCCAAUUCAAUCAAAAUAUUGUUUUCUCUCUCUCCAUAAACAAAUAGUAUUUUUGAUAUGAUGGCUCGGCAGACAAAAUGACGAUGUCAGUUGUCUUUGUUUGGAUAUCACAUUAGCUGAUUGUAAAAUCAGUAUUAAAGCCCGGCUUGCCGGGUUUUUU
rnacentral:sRNA from 16 species